rnacentral:rRNA from 1 species
CUACGGGAGGCACCAGUGGGGAAUAUUGGACAAUGGGGGAAACCCUGAUCCAGCAAUGCCGCGUGUGUGAAGAAGGCCUGCAGGUUGUAAAGCACUUUCGGUUGGGAGGACUGCUUCUAGCACUAAUAUUGUUGGAAGUUGACGUUACCUUCAGAAGAAGCACCGGCUAACUCCGUGCCAGCAGCCGCGGCAAUACGGAGGGUGCAAGCGUUAAUCGGAAUUACUGGGCGUAAAGCGCGCGUAGGCGGCUAGAUCAGUCGGGUGUGAAAGCCCCGGGCUUAACCUGGGAACUGCAUCCGAUACUGUCUAGCUUGAGUACAGGAGAGGAGAGUGGAAUUCCACAUGUAGCGGUGAAAUGCGUAGAUAUGUGGAGGAACACCAAUGGCGAAGGCAGCUCUCUGGCCUGAUACUGACGCUGAGGUGCGAAAGCGUGGGGAGCAAACAGGAUUAGAUACCCUAGUAGUC